rnacentral:rRNA from 1 species
AUUGAACGCUGGCGGCAUGCUUUACACAUGCAAGUCGAACGGCAGCGCGGGCUUCGGCCUGGCGGCGAGUGGCGAACGGGUGAGUAAUACAUCGGAACGUGCCCAGUAGUGGGGGAUAGCUCGGCGAAAGCCGGAUUAAUACCGCAUACGACCUGAGGGUGAAAGCGGGGGAUCUUCGGACCUCGCGCUAUUGGAGCGGCCGAUGGCAGAUUAGCUAGUUGGUGGGGUAAAGGCCUACCAAGGCGACGAUCUGUAGCUGGUCUGAGAGGACGACCAGCCACACUGGGGCUGAGACACGGCCCAGACUCCUACGGGAGGCAGCAGUGGGGAAUUUUGGACAAUGGGCGAAAGCCUGAUCCAGCAAUGCCGCGUGUGUGAUGAAGGCCUUCGGGUUGUAAAGCACUUUUGGCGGGAACGAAAGGGACUGUGCCAAUACCACGGUUCGAUGACGGUACCCGCAGAAUAAGCACCGGCUAACUACGUG